CAUCCUUCCAGAGACAGUGAUGUGGAGCCAGCACCGUCUGAGGAUGGCAGGCCUCAGACAUUCUCUGUGACUUGUGGAGGGGCGGAUCAUCUGUUAUAUGAGUCCAGGACGCUGUGGCGAUAGCAGGGCCUAGGCUGGGUCUGUGACCGCUCUUGAGGGCUCCAGCUGAGCACAAGAGGUACUGUACUCUCCCAUCUGGGUGCUACUGCACAGACUCUGCCCCCACCCCCACCCACCGUCCCUCACGGCUCUUGGAGUGAGGCCAGCCUGAGGUUCCAAGUAAAGGGCGGGGCAAACUGCCUCAGCCUACCUUUUACUGACCCUGAGGCUCAGUGACCCCGAGGCCCAACUUCUCCGUGAUUCAGUCUCUCCACCUGUGAAAUGGGAGCACAUCUACCCAGCUCCUGGGAUGCUUUGAGGCUCAAUGACAGGACAGAGUACUCCAGCACAGUGCCUGGGCAGGCUAGGUGCCAAACUGUAGCCACCACCUCAGUCCAAUGACAGUCUGCCAGAGAUGGCUGAUGGUGCUGAGUGUGACAGUGCUCUGCUUUGGGGGUUCCUGGGACUCACCCUGACCGCCCCCCCAAAGUGUGAGAUGCAAAGGGGGGUGGUGCUUGGUGCAGACUUUCUGAUGGUCAUGAGCCCCCAGGCCAUGUGCUCUGUCUCAGCAGCAGAGUUGGGACCCAAUGUUUGCUGGAGGUCCCGAAACCCCUUCACAUGGUAAGGAGGCUCACACCUACCCAUUCACAAGGGCGGUCACAGCACAGCCGCCUCUGUGGCUUCUACAAGCGUGUGGUGGCUCCAAGGGCCCUGAUAAAGUUUUUGUGUGGGACCCUUGACCACGGGUGCGCGGGAUCCAGCCAAACAGACUUUGUGGGGGAUUUUUUUUUCUUUUAGGAAUUUUGUGUUGGUUGCUAAAUAAAGGCACAGAAAAACAGA